GGCCUUUUUAUUAGCUUGUAGCAGACUUACACAUGCAAGCAUCCCCGCUCCGGUGAGAAUGCCCUCUAACUCUACCCUUGAUCUAAAGGCGCUGGUAUCAAGUUCGCCUCAUAGGCCGCUCAUGACACCUUGAUUCACCACACCCCCACGGGAUACAGCAGUGAUUAAAAUUAAGCCCAUGAACGAAAGUUUGACUAAGUUAUGCUACAGUAGGGUUGGUAAAUUUCGUGCCAGCCACCGCGGUCAUACGAUUAACCCUUGUUAAUAAAAUCCGGCGUAAAGCGUGGUUUGGAGUCACCCAUAGAAUAAGGUAGAAGUUCUACCAAGCUGUAAAAAGCCUUGGUAAUAAUAAAAACUAAGAACGAAAGUCACCUUAAUAUUUCCGAACCCACGAUAGCUAAGACCCAAACUGGGAUUAGAUACCCCACUAUGCUUAGCCCUAAACAUAAAUAUUCAGCUAACAAGAAUAUUCGCCAGAGAACUACUGGCAAUUGCCUAAAACUCAAAGGACUUGGCGGUGCUUUAAACCCCCCUAGAGGAGCCUGUUCUAUAAUCGAUAAACCCCGAUCCACCUCACCACUUCUGGCAAUUAUCAGCCUAUAUACCGCCAUCUUCAGCAAACCCUUACAAGGUCGUAUAGUAAGCACAACUAUUCUACAUAAAAACGUUAGGUCAAGGUGUAGCCUAUGGAGUGGGAAGUAAUGGGCUACAUUUCCUGAUCACAGGACAGUCGUCCUAAACGAUAGUCAUUAUGAAAUUAAAGACUUAAGGCGGAUUUAGUAGUAAGAUAAGAAUAGAGAGCUUAUCUGAAUUGGGCAAUAAAGCACG
rnacentral:ncRNA from 1 species